rnacentral:rRNA from 1 species
GAUGAACGCUGGCGGCGUGCCUAAUACAUGCAAGUCGAGCGAACAGAUAAGGAGCUUGCUCCUUUGACGUUAGCGGCGGACGGGUGAGUAACACGUGGGUAACCUACCUAUAAGACUGGGAUAACUUCGGGAAACCGGAGCUAAUACCGGAUAAUAUUUCGAACCGCAUGGUUCGAUAGUGAAAGAUGGUUUUGCUAUCACUUAUAGAUGGACCCGCGCCGUUUUAGCUAGUUGGUAAGGUAACGGCUUACCAAGGCGACGAUCCGUAGCCGACCUGAGAGGGUGAUCGGCCACACUGGAGCUGAGACACGGUCCAGACUCCUACGGGAGGCAGCAGUAGGGAAUCUUCCGCAAUGGGCGAAAGCCUGACGGAGCAACGCCGCGUGAGUGAUGAAGGUCUUCGGAUCGUAAAACUCUGUUAUUAGGGAAGAACAUACGUGUAAGUAACUGUGCACGUCUUGACGGUACCUAAUCAGAAAGCCACGGCUAACUACGUG